CGAGCACGCGCGUGUGGCAUAUCAAUAAGCGGAGGAAAAGAAACUAACAAGGAUUCCCUUAGUAACGGCGAGUGAAGCGGGAAGAGCUCAAAUUUGAAAUCUUCAAGGUUCUACCUUGACGAAUUGUAGUUUAUAGAAGUGUUUUCUGUUAGUGGAGUGGCAAAAGUUCUUUGGAAUAGGACAUCAUAGAGGGUGAGAAUCCCGUAUUUGGUCAUUCCUCCUAGCGUUGUGAUACACUUUCAACGAGUCGGAUUGUUUGGGAAUGCAGUCCAAAAUGGGUGGUAAAUUUCAUCUAAAGCUAAAUAUUGGCGAGAGACCGAUAGCGAACAAGUACCGUGAGGGAAAGAUGAAAAGAACUUUGAAAAGAGAGUUACACAGUACGUGAAAUUGUCAAAAGGGAAGCGUUUGACACCAGUGUUGUUUUUCCGAAAAUCAAUUACGAAUGUUUUAGUUUUUGAGGAGUUAUGACUUCAUCGGCUUGCUCCUUUCUUUACUGAAACUUUCUUAAUGCACUUUUCGGUUAACAAGUCAACAUCAAUUUCUUUUGUUGUAAAAGGGUAUGAGGAAGGUGGCUUUCUUUUCGGAGAAAGUGUUUAUAGCCUUGUACCUCUGCAAUCGGAGAGAUUGAGGUCUGCAGCGUAGAUCCUUCGGGGUUAGAUACAUUUGUGCUAAGUUAUAGCUUUUCAUAGACAACUUGUUGACUAUGUUUAGUCUUGUAGCUUACUCGCUGACGCUAUUUUACCUACGCUUAGGAUGUUGAUGUGAUACUGCGAGCA
rnacentral:rRNA from 1 species